GGCCAGUUAGCUCAGUCAGUUGAGCGUGGCGCUAAGAACGCCAAGGUCGCGGGUUCGAUUCCCGCUCGGUCCC
rfam:Apaloderma vittatum contig91301, whole genome shotgun sequence.